UACGUAGGUGGCAAGCGUUAUCCGGAUUUAUUGGGUUUAAAGGGCGCGUAGGCGGAGUGUCAAGUCAGCGGUAAAAUUUCGGGGCUCAACCCCGUCGUGCCGUUGAAACUGACACCCUUGAGUGAGUGAGAAGUAAGCGGAAUGCGUGGUGUAGCGGUGAAAUGCAUAGAUAUCACGCAGAACGCCGAUUGCGAAGGCAUCUCACGAAUCCGCUAUUGACGCUGAUGCACGAAAGCGUGGGUAUCAAACAGG
rnacentral:rRNA from 1 species